AAACUAAAGUUUUCCCAUACAUCAGAACUGCUAUUAUUAUAUGUAUAUAAUAUUUGUGUAUAAUAAAUUAAACUACUACUGGAUACAUCGCAAUCACAAUCCCUUGUAAUCAUUCACUUAAUUGGCAAUUACGCUGUCAAUAGAUUAAAGUAUUUAUAAAAAAUGACCAAAAUAUUUUCCCGCAACAUUAUUCGGGUGGGCUUUAGUUUAGCAUCCCACGAUUUCAGGGUUAGGAGGGGUAUGGUUGGAUAGAGGAGAUUCUCCAGAUCACGAAUAUUAUUGCCCUAUUAUGGUCCUUUUCGCUGCUGUUUGUGCAGAAAGGAGUUUGACGCAAUUGAAUUAUGAACACCUCGGUUUUUGACCGACCAGGGUUAUUUUUUUGAAGCGGGCCGAAGGCCGCCAGUGCGGAAAGGAGUUCGACGAUCUCCGAUAUUCAUUCAUUCCAUAAAAAUGCGGCACUUUUGACUAUUACAUUUUUUCAGUAUAUUUUUUUCAUAAGAAAAUGUUUAACACACUGAACUGGUAAUUACAGCUAAGAGAUCAGAAUUCCACAGAAUUUUGCCGCUACAACAACAACAACAACUAAGUGACAUGAAUAUGUGAUAUGUGCAAAGUGUGUAAAUAAAUAUUGAAAAAUAUACAUAAAUUAUUGAAAAAAUUCACUUUCCGCUCACGGAUUUGUAAUCUACAUAACUUUUUUUUAAGGGGUGGCCGACGGGUAAUUCCUUCGAAUUCAUAAAAAGGACACUUAAUUAUGUCACCCCUUACAACCCCAACCCCCUACGAAGUGGGGGCCAUUAAGUACAUAUUUACCAAAUAAAUUAACAUCUAAUAUAUAAAAUUCUAGUGUCCACGGUGUUUGCUAUCGAACUCCUCUGAAACGGCUGGACCAAUUUUGAAGAAAUUUGGGUGCUUUCCGGGUCUACAAGAUGGCAGUCGAAUAUAAAAAUUGUAGUAUACUAUAAGUAUAAUUUUCAUAUAUAGAUCUAUGAACCAAUCAGCUAUCCCCACCAUGUGCCUCCCGCUGUCCCUUUUCAACCAGAAAACAUCACGAAUUACGGAUAAAAAGAAGUCGACUUAUUUAAUUUUCAUUAAGUCAAGUUCAUUUUAUUCUCACAGUGAAUUUAACAUUAUUUCUAAGUACAUUUUUAAAAAUAGCCAACGCGGAUUUUCCACGAACGAAACAGCGCAUGAUCGUGCUAUAAAUAUAAAAUGGGCUAAAACAUGGGCUCAAUCGAAAAGUUAAGGAACAUAUUCCUAAUCACAGUCUCGCACCUAAAUGUAUCACUUCUCCAUGUGCAAUAAACAAAAACAAUAUACAUCGAACACAACUUAUAUGCAUCGGUAGGUUAAUAAAAAUACAUCGUAACAUAUACGAGAGAGUACGAGUAUUUAUCAGCAGCAGUUGUUACAACAAUAUGCCUUGUGGCACAAACAGUCACCGACGCAAAACCAUGGAUCGAAUCAGCUGAUACGGCCUAUCUUUUGAGAGCGCAUUGUAAAUGAACAGUCACCACCGCUUUUACCGUCCGCUUCAACUUCGAUAUUUUGUAGUAAUUAAAAAAUGAACUUGAAUAUAUUUGAAAUAUUCUUAAAAUAACACAAAAUCACAGUCGAAUACAUUUAUUUAUAAAUAUGUAGACUAUUUUUAAUAGUUGGAUUUUAGUUAUAAGCUUUUACAUUAUGAAAAACUAUAACUAAAAAACUAAAUGUGUGUAAAAUCGUGUAUACAAAUAGAACAAUGGCAACAUUGGUGAAAUGAAAACAAAAGAGAACAACUGAUUUCUGCGUUGCAACUACGGGCAUAACUUUUGACAAAUUUGAUUUGAUACAGGCGGUAAGUACGGAAGGGAGGAAUGUCGGUAACUGUUUGUGGUAUUAUCGAGAAAUGCGACGGACAAACAUUGUAACAAUAGAAAUGCAAUAAUUGUGUGUGUAAGCAUGUCAAUAUGUAAUAUGAUUUAUGUAAUAUGAUCUAGUAAACUGAAUUAGUAAUAAGUACACACACAUACAUUUAGUAAUAAAUACACACAUUUUAGUAUAAA